GGACCCUUGCUGUCAUUUCGCGGGAGACCACCGUAAUCGACCGGAGCCGGGAGCGCUUCAUUGUGCUCGCGAUGAGCACCUUGCUCCUGCUCAUCAGCGUCACACUGUUCGGCAUACUCUUCACGCUGCUGUCGCACGACUGAAUCUUCGCAGGCGAAUUCCAG
rnacentral:lncRNA from 1 species